UACAGAGGGUGCAAGCGUUGUUCGGAAUUAUUGGGCGUAAAGGGCGCGUAGGCGGUUCGGCAAGUCUCUAGUGAAAUCUCUGGGCUCAACUCAGAGUCUGCUGGGGAAACUGCCGGGCUUGAGUGUGGGAGAGGAGAGUGGAAUUCCCGGUGUAGCGGUGAAAUGCGUAGAUAUCGGGAGGAACAUCUGUGGCGAAGGCGACACGCUGGACCAGCACUGACACUGAGGCACGAAAGCGUGGGGAGCAAACAGG
rnacentral:rRNA from 1 species